rnacentral:rRNA from 1 species
UUCCGGUUGAUCCUGCCGGACCCGACUGCUAUCAGAGUGAGAUUAAGCCAUGCGAGUUAACGUAGCAAUACGUGGCGCACGGCUCAGUAACACGUAGUCAACAUGCCCAGAGGACGUGGAUAACCUCGGGAAACUGAGUCUAAACCGCGAUAAGUGAGGAUUUCUGGAAUGGUUCCUGACUAAAAUCUAUAUGGCCUCUGGAUUGGACUGCGGCCGAUCAGGCUGUUGGUGUGGUAAUGGCCCACCAAACCUGUAACCGGUACGGGCUCUGAGAGGAGGAGCCCGGAGAUGGGCACUGAGACAAGGGCCCAGGCCCUAUGGGGCGCAGCAGGCGCGAAACCUCUGCAAUAGGCGAAAGCCUGACAGGGUUACUCUGAGUGACUUUCGCUAAGAAAGUCUUUUGGCACCUCUAAAAAUGGUGCAGAAUAAGGGGUGGGCAAGUCUGGUGUCAGCCGCCGCGGUAAUACCAGCACCCCGAGUGGUCGGGACGAUUAUUGGGCCUAAAGCAUCCGUAGCCGGUUCUGCAAGUCCCCCGUUAAAUCCAGCUGCUCAACAGAUGGGCCGCGGAGGAUACUACAGAGCUAGGAGGCAGGAGAGGCAAGCGGUACUCAGUGGGUAGGGGUAAAAUCCGUUGAUCCAUUGAAGACCACCAGUGGCGAAGGCGGCUUGCCAGAAUGCGCUCGACGGUGAGGGAUGAAAGCUGGGGGAGCAAACCGGAUUAGAUACCCGGGUAGUCCUAG